GCCCUUGUAGCUCAACGGAUAGAGCACCACACUCCUAACGUGGCGAUAGAGGUCCGAUUCCUCUCAAGGGCA
rnacentral:tRNA from 1 species